rnacentral:rRNA from 1 species
AUUGAACGCUGGCGGCAUGCCUUACACAUGCAAGUCGAACGGCAGCAUAGGAGCUUACUCCUGAUGGCGAGUGGCGAACGGGUGAGUAAUAUAUCGGAACGUGCCCUAGAGUGGGGGAUAACUAGUCGAAAGACUAGCUAAUACCGCAUACGAUCUACGGAUGAAAGUGGGGGAUCGCAAGACCUCAUGCUCCUGGAGCGGCCGAUAUCUGAUUAGCUAGUUGGUGGGGUAAAAGCCUACCAAGGCAACGAUCAGUAGCUGGUCUGAGAGGACGACCAGCCACACUGGGACUGAGACACGGCCCAGACUCCUACGGGAGGCAGCAGUGGGGAAUUUUGGACAAUGGGGGCAACCCUGAUCCAGCAAUGCCGCGUGAGUGAAGAAGGCCUUCGGGUUGUAAAGCUCUUUUGUCAGGGAGGAAACGGUAGUAGCGAAUAACUACUACUAAUGACGGUACCUGAAGAAUAGGCACCGGCUAACUACGUGCCAGCCGCCGCCGUAAAAC